AAAAAAUGUUUGAAAAAGAGAGAGAGAGAAAACCGUUACUUCUCAGAGGAACUGAGAAGCAGAGGGGCUACAGAAGCCAGUAGCUAAUCAACUUUUUCCUGUUUUGGGUUCUUGAAGAUGGCAAUGAAGAUCCUUUCUGGAAGCUGCUCUUCUGACCUUUCAUCUCUCUUUGGAGGAGCUUUCUACAUCAAUAGGAAUCGACUGACUCUUGCCGGAAUCGGUUUUUCUAGUAGUAUUUCGACCUUCUUACAAAAGCUAAAUUACG